AUGAGUGACUCCAAGGAACCAAGGGUGCAGCAGCUGGGCCUCCUGGGUAAGGCUGGGUUGGAACUCUGGGAUCCUGGGUAAGGGGAAGGGAUGGCCCAGGCUCUGAGCUGAUGUCUGUCAAUUCAGAAGAAGAUCCAACAACCAGUGGCAUCAGACUUUUUCCAAGAGACUUUCAAUUCCAGCAGAUACAUGGCCACAAGAGCUCUACAGUUCCUUUUCUUCUUGGCCCAGUGUCCAAGGUCCCCAGCUCCCUAAGUCAGGAACAAUCCGAGCAAGACACAAUCUACCAGAACCUGACCCAGCUUAAAGCUGCAGUGGGUGAGCUCUCAGAGAAAUCCAAGCUGCAGGAGAUCUACCAGGAGCUGACCCAGCUGAAGGCUGCAGUGGGUGAGUUGCCAGAGAAAUCCAAGCUGCAGGAGAUCUACCAGGAGCUGACCCAGCUGAAGGCUGCAGUGGGUGAGUUGCCAGAGAAAUCCAAGCUGCAGGAGAUCUACCAGGAGCUGACCCAGCUGAAGGCUGCAGUGGGUGAGUUGCCAGAGAAAUCCAAGCUGCAGGAGAUCUACCAGGAGCUGACCCAGCUGAAGGCUGCAGUGGGUGAGUUGCCAGAGAAAUCCAAGCUGCAGGAGAUCUACCAGGAGCUGACCCAGCUGAAGGCUGCAGUGGGUGAGUUGCCAGAGAAAUCCAAGCUGCAGGAGACCUACCAGGAGCUGACCCAGCUGAAGGCUGCAGUGGGUAAAUUGCCAGACCAGUCCAAGCAGCAGCAAAUCUAUCAAGAACUGACCGAUUUGAAGACUGCAUUUGGUGAGUUCCUGCACAUCGAGGGUCCUUGGGCCUGAGAUGGUCUCUGUGUGAUGUGACUUUACUUGAGUUACCAACCCUGCCUGAGCCUCAGUUUCCUCCCCUGUGAAAUGAGAACACAGGGUAACUGCGAUCAUUGCACUUGGUGUUCACACUGGGCCAGGCACACAGUAGACACUCAGUUCAACCAAUCCGCUGCCUUCUGUUCUGAGCUCUAAAGCUGCUAAUUCUCCCAGUCUGGAAGAGAUGGAGCCAGGACUCCUGGGUUCUCCUGGGGAUCAGGGAGAGUCUUGGGAAGUAGGGAGAGGAAUGGUCUCUCCUCAUUCCAAGAGGUCCACCCAACAUGGACAGUCAAGGAAGGGCCCUGAUUUUCAAGGGCUUGAAGGCUGGGCAGAUAUGGGAAUAUGGACAACCUGAUCUGAGCCCAGCCCUGACCAGCCUCCCCCAACAGAACGCCUGUGCCGCCACUGUCCCAAGGACUGGACAUUCUUCCAAGGAAACUGUUACUUCAUGUCUAACUCCCAGCGGAACUGGCACAACUCCGUAACCGCCUGCCGGGAAGUGAGGGCCCAGCUCGUCGUAAUCAAAAGUGCUGAGGAGCAGCUUCCAGCGAUACUGGAACAGUGGAGAACCCAACAAUAGUGGGAAUGAAGACUGUGCGGAAUUUAGUGGCAGUGGCUGGAACGACAAUCGAUGUGACAUUGACAAUUACUGGAUCUGCAAAAAGCCCGCAGUCUGCUUCAGAGACGAAUAG
rnacentral:sRNA from 1 species